AUGGGGAGCGGGAACAGCAGAGGGAAAAAGGUUGCACCUGCAUCCGAAACUGACGCUGACGAUGUCAAUACUGAUUCUGUCCCAGCCGACGGGAACAACAUAAGCUUGGUAGAGCCAUUUAGAGUUACGGCAUGUACUAACUUAAGUUUGGUUCGUAAAAAGACUCGACCCGACUGUCAGAGCGAAGGGCAAAAUUCCGAAUGGUCCACUGACUUAGAAGGUGAGCUGGAUGAGAUGAAUGCCGAAUCCGACGGAAAGGAAAGUAAUGCAAACAAAAGAAGUUCUGUUAAGAAACAAUUCUUCAGCUCAAAAACAUUUGGCCUGUGCAAUUACAUACGGGUGCAAAAUGAUAAGCAUGUGGCCUCAACUCACCAAUUGUCAAAUGCCGGACUCCGUAGUGGAUCGUGCUCUCAUGCACAAUCUGAAAUGAGCGUAAAAGAAAAACAAGUCUCCAACAAGCCUUUGGGGAAAAUCUCAUGUGCCAGCACAAGUCAACACCAAGGUUGGUUGGUCAACGUGUGUCCGGUAACACAAUCCGAAGAUGCAGCAUUAGUUCCAGACAAUUGUACUGGCCCAUCUCUCAACAAGUCUGUAAUCUUGUAUGACGCCACAGAAGAGGACCUCAUGAAAACUAUUGAGAGAGAAUUUAGUUAAACUUAUAACUGAAUUGCAUAUUAGAACAAAGAGCAAAAUCCCCUUGCCUAACUGGUAACCCAGCCAAGGUCCUGUUUAAUUGUAUGUGUUGCAUCAUUGAAUGAAGAUCAUAUUACAACAAUUGUUAUUUGAUCAUUGUCAUUACUAUUGUUUU
rnacentral:lncRNA from 1 species